rnacentral:rRNA from 1 species
UACGGGGGGGGCAAGCGUUGUUCGGAAUUACUGGGCGUAAAGGGCUCGUAGGCGGCCAACUAAGUCAGACGUGAAAUCCCCGGGCUUAACCUGGGAAUGGCGUUUGAAACUACGGAGCUGGAGUGUGGCAGAGGGAGGUAGAAUUCCACGUGUAGCGGUGAAAUGCGUAGAUAUGUGGAGGAAUACCGAUGGCGAAGGCAGCCUCCUGGGCCAACACUGACGCUCAUGCACGAAAGCGUGGGGAGCAAACAGG